UUGGCAGCGAAGAAGAGGCCCAGCUCACCUCCACGCAGGUGUCUUCUUCUCACGGACCCAGCCCCAGUAGCAGCCUCGAUUUCAAAAAAAAAGAAGAAAAAAACAUGGCGAGAACAAAACCACGGAGGCGGCCGGGACGCCGAGGAGGCGGAGGAGGAGCACGACGACGACGACGCGAAUGAUUGGGAGGAGGAAAGGGACGUACGGCGAGGCGAUCCGGGCAGGAAGGGGAAGGCGACAAGGGGAAGUGGGCCGCGACAAGAUCCAUGAUCCUAGGAGAUGGAUGGUCAGAUAUAAUUUGAAGAAGACAAUGCCCUUAGUUUGGCGCAGCCUCCCACUAUAUGAAGGGUUGGAGAAAAUGAGCAAUGCAGUAGUUAAUUUGGUAAUGGUCUCUUAUUGCUCUGCCGUACCAGUCCAUCAACCAUUGGUUAUGCAUUGGGUAUGAUCAGAAGAGCACAGUCACGUGAUGGGCAUGUGAUGGCAUGGAUUCUUGGACGAGUGGCAUGAUCAUCGAUUCAUGGUGCCUGCUCUUGGCAUCUGACAGGACAGUUACUAACAAGACGAGAAGAAGAUACUUUCUUGCUAUGAGGCAGUGAAAGCUGGAAGGACUGCAAUCAUCAGGAUGCAGCUUGGUGCGUUGCUGCUGUCUACUACUCUCCGACAGAAUGGCAUAAUUCAAGGGUCCUAAGGGCCACAAGAGUUUGGUACUUAGUGCCUCGAGUUAAUCAAACAAAACAAAAAACCAGACGGUCUACAUGAUGAGGUAUUAGAUUAGCUUAAGGACCAUAGAUCUUAGGGCAUUUACUUGGGAGCUGCAAUGCCAGUAAAAAACUAAGUACAUUUGAGGUCUUCGAGGUCUCCCUUAGUAAGUCUAUUAGCUGGAAUCCAUGGAAGAGUGUACACUCCAAGCAUGUCGAUCUCAUCAUAUCUUUUGAUAGGUGAGAGAGGGUUUGGUUGGCGUGAUCGCGAUUUUUUUUCUGUGGUGGUAUUGGAAUUAGGAGAGAGCUUGGGGGGUAAUACGGUGUUCCACAAUCCACACCCAGAUCACAGCUGUGCAGGCGUUGGUCGGACGGCUGUCGGGCACGAUACAGUUUGUUAACUGACGGAAAGCUUUUUGGCGGAUCUGCUCUGCCAUGUGAUGGUAGACCCUCUCGAUCCUGUCAUCUGGUCUGUGCAGGAAGGUACGGUUGUAGAGAACUUUUAUGUAUUGUUUGUCACUUGCUUGAUGUUCUAUCGUUCAAAAUUGAGUCCCUGGUAGAACAAGUGCUGCAGGAUACAAUGGUGGUACCAUUAUAUUAGUUCGUAUUCCUUUGCCCAGCAUGUGCUCUGUUAUGUUUCCGUACCGCUCCUACUUUGAUUUGAGGCCUUGCUGCUUCUUUGGUUAUUGUUUUUAUUUUCUGGAUUUACAAGCUUGUCAUCUAUUUUUCCACUUGCCCUCAUCAGUUUCCGCUGGAUAGCUACAGCCUCUAGGAGCUGCAGGGAAAUGACAAUAGAACCUAACACAAGCCAUCUAGUGCCCGACAAGAUAUUUAAGGUCCACCCAUAUCUCCUGAAGAAUCAAACGUGCUGUACUGUCUUCUAAUCUUAGAAACCAGAACCUUUUCUUUUAAGGAAUUGGUCAGUUCAGUUUACAAAACACAUGGUACAGAACUUCCAAAGCUAACAUCUUAACUUCAUAGGCGCUUAGAUAUAUUCCUUAGUAAUUUUGGAGUUUGACUUGAGAAUUACACCUGGUCCAUUGGCCGUGCAGUCCAUCCAAGCAAUCGAUGGACUACUGAAGAAUGUUGUGAGCUCUAGUGCCAGAUGAUUGCUCUUCUUCAAUUUGUGCAGGGCCUUGUGGUGAGUGGCGAGGAUGUUCAGCGGAGAAGUCACUCUGUUGGGAUCUACUCGGUAGGCUCUAGGCUUGCGUCGAGUGGUUUUAUUGUGGACAGCUACAAAGAAAGUGUGUAUUGUGAUGGUGCCCUGUUAGUUGAACUGGUAGGGUUGCGUUUUUGUUGGCGGCAUGUUGUUUUCUCUUUUUGGGAGUAAUCCGCAUGCGGUUCUCGUGGGUUUGAGUGGUUCCCCUUCAAAACCCUUCUGUGUAAGGUUUUUGGCAUGGUUUUCCUUAUAAACAGGGCCGAUUCUAUUAUUCUUAAUGAAUUGCAGGAACACCCUGCCCUCUUGAUGAGGUCCGUAAUAAAAAGAAUUACGCCUGGUUUGCACUACGUUGUGAUUAUUGAAAUUUCCAGUGUUUCUGAGUUAUUGAAUUGACAUGCAUAUCUGACCAGUGCUAGCUCAUGUGUUUUAAGUUGUGUCAUUACACAAGUACAUAACGAUCUUUCUAGUAGAUGUGUGGCUGCAGCUGCACUUGGUGGAUAGACAAGAGAAGCUCCAUUAUUGCACGAGAACCAACUGUUUCACAUGAAUAUUUGUACUGUGUCCAUUUGUCUUCAAGUUGGUCUGACUUAAAAAGGCAACAAGAUGCCAUUUUAGUACUAAAUGGGGAACUCAGAGAUGGGUUCUCUCUCGUGGUCAUUUGGGCUCAGGCUACAUGUUCUUGCAUAGUAAUAUAAUAUAAUCACAUUGUGAAAUAAGCAAAUUAUGCUUGCACACUAAAAUAUGUAGAUAUCCAUAGAUUCUUUUAUGGUGAUGAUAAAGCUUAGCUUUCUGAGUCUUAGAUGAAAAAAAAUGGUUGUCAUCAUAUUGAUAUGCAUGUUUUAUGAAUAACUCGUUUGGAGUCUAAAUGAAAAAAACAGGAUUGAGUGAGAUUAUAAAUCCUGGAAAGGUAUGUACCAUGUACUUCUGUUUUGAAUAUAAGAAUACCGCCUGUUUUCAUCACAUGGAGGGUGCUCUAUUCUAGCUACAUGGCAUUAGCUGGUGAUUUUGAUAUAGUAUAAGCUAGCUACUGUCGAGUCGAUCUAGAUUAAUGUUCCUGUGAUAUCUUGUUACAGAUGAAGAUCUUUUUUUGGAAAGCUCCCCAGAGUGAAGAAUCACUUUUGCAUUGUUUGGAUUGAUUGGUGCAAGGAAAGAAAGGUUCCUCAAGAUGCAUUUAGUUGAUUAGCAGCAGAGAGGAGAUUACUGGUGAGAUGUGCAUUGCCCCUAUGAGGGGAACCGGUCUGCACAAAUUAACAAACAAAAAAGACUACAGUGGAGAAAGGACAUGAGAUGAUUACCUGGAUAGGGAAGAAGAAUGCCAUCUCACUAGGAUCAAGGGCAAGGAAGGAUGCUCUCUGGCACAUGCCUUCCCUUAUGGGGACCAGAAACACAUGGGAGCUACACAACUAGAGCUCCCCAUCAAGAGCCCUCAAGAGGAACAAGGCUGUAGCCUCCUUCGGAGAUCUCUGAGAGGAGAGCUUUCUUGCCCAUAACAUCACCAUUCCCCUUCCCUGGCUCAAAUUCCACAGUAAAAUACAACAUUUCUGGAAGGAAAAUAAGUGGGCAUUUCCUAAAUGGCGCUAGAGACUUAAAGGAGGUUGGCAACAUCUGUGAGGAAGAAUGUGCAAUGAGGGAUUGGAUGCUGUGCAGCCAUGAGUUUUCCUUUUGCCCAAUUGAGCUUGGCUUUGGGAAGAAGAGAAAGGCAUUUGAUGGAGGCAAGUCCCUCAGGUGGGGAGUAGAGCCUGUGCUCCACCUGGUCAGUGUAGUAGUGGCUGCUCUGUCUAUGCCUUUGCCUUUUUUCACAAAAGAGGUAAAAAGGAGCUGUGCACUCGAAACUUUAAUGCUGGCAACCUAUACGUACCGGCAUUAUGGUACCUCUUGUCUGUGAAGCUUGUGAUGCGGGAACAGUAAAUUGGGGUAUAAGGAAAUCCUGCUGUACACUGCAAGCCCCUUUUCUUUUCUGCUGAGCAAUGAUUGGGAGUUUUGAGGCAUAUGGUAGACACUUUCUGGUUUCUUUACCCUUAGACGGCGCUAUAUGUUUAUUCAGCUUGUGCCCCAGAUUGUUUACGACACAAUUAAGCAGCAUGAGUCCAGGAAUUCAGAGAUUUGGCAGUGAGUUUCUGCGGUGCAAAACAUUCCCCUGUACACAAGGACAACUGUGGUUGUAUGGAAGCAUACGUUUCUUUAUUGAUCCUGUCAUGAAAACCGGUAAGCAGAUCCCAAGAGCAGCCUGCCUGCCUUGCCUGUCCUAAGUACUCCUCACUGCUCCCCCCACAAACACUGGAGUCCAAUGCAAGCCACGCCAAUCCAUUCCAGCAACAGUUGCAGGGCCCUCCACUCCUCGCCGCGGUCCGAUGCGGCAGCAGCGCCUUUAUGAGGACGAGCCUCAUCGGCCGCUACAGUUCUGGUCCUUGGUCGGCCCGCGAUCGCCCUUGGCAGUGACAGCCAGCUUGGCCGGACACCGUACAUGUCUUGUGCACAAACACCAAACUACACAAAUGUGUUACUGAGGGGUAGUAGCAAUGGAGAUGAUGCAGCGAUGCUGAAGCAGAGCAGGCGGCAACCGUACACUAACGCCAUUGGUAUGAGCAAAUCUACCUAUCUACAUGCUGCUUGGUGCUGCUGCUUUCUUGGCUGCCGUGUUUGUUCCAACUGUGGCACACCAUUUGUUCCCUUAGCAAGGCACUCUUAAAUAGCCAGCACCCAGCAGUGCCCAUCUCUUCCUUUAAUGGCUUCUACUCUGCAUUGCAAGAGGACCACAGAGAGAAGGAAGAAUGACAGAGAAAGUAAACAGAGGCACUGUGGUGCCACAAUCUUAACAUCAUGCAUGCAUCUCUUAUACUCGUCUUUCCUUUUUGUACUUUUUUUUGCCUCUCCUUUUUCUUCUUGUUUCCUUGCCUUUUUCUCUUC